rnacentral:lncRNA from 1 species
AUGGGGGGACGCCGUUCCGUCGGACCUGCCUCGGCUGCUUCCGUUCCCUCCGCCGGCUGGAAACCAGAGCGGCGUUUUCGAGGUUCCGCUCUUCAGACGGGCCCCCAUAACGAAAAGCGGAGUUUCCUCGCUUCGUCGCUCAAACAUACACACGCAUUUGGAGUAUUUAUACCGUGCAACACGUUUCUUAGCAUUCAAGUUUCCAUCACUAAAGAGAUAAAGAUGCCACCCUCUGAUAAUUCUGAUGGGAGUGCUGACCUCGAAUCAGAAAAUGAGUCUAGAGGAAAUAACAGUCUGGGCAAGAUGCACAGAAGAGCUUCAACAAGUGACAUUAGGACAACUCUACCUGUGAAAAAAAUGAAACCCAAGCCUGCCUAUUUGAGUUCAAAAGAGGCUGUCCAGAUAAAAGGGCUUUCUGCCUUUAUUUCAGACAGAUUGGACCAUAAUGUAAAACAGUAUUGCUUGGACAAAAAUUCAUUGUAUAACACAGUAAUGCUGAUCUGCACUCUGCUGGUCUCUCUCCUCUUCAACCUUCUCUGCCAGUUGCUUGAGGUAUCAAAUGUUCUACGAAUCCAGCUGCUGCCUUCAUCUCUGGCUGUCCGGGUAUAUCAGCUCUUUGCCUGGGUGACCCAAAAGCCUGUGAAAAUCAUGAUUUCCUUGAAACAAGAAAUUUCUGCUCGAUCAGCUUUUUUCUUGGGGAAGAGAGAGAAAAGAACUUUUGGGGCUAAAGCGUAA